GAGAUAAAUUUAAAUUUCAUAUAAUAAAAUAUGUUACAAUGGUUGAAAUUGAGAGAUUGAAAAGAAGAAAAUAUAACAUAAAGUAUUUAGUGUGAAUUUAUUCAACUAGUUAAAACAAAAAAAAGUUCGACAUUAAAAAAGUAUUAUUUGAUUAUUUAUAUUUAAAAUAGUCGACAUUUGAUUCUGCUUCAUUCCUUAUGCUAGUGAAUCUUUAUUUUGGAGGAUUAGAUUCAUGAUUUAAGGUUAGCUUAACAAUUUAUAGGUUAUAGGACUAAAACAAUAAUUUGAAACUUUAAAAUAUAUAUGUUAAAAAAUAUUGAAAUGUAUAUUUUGUUAACAUUUUUUUUAUUAAAUUUAUGUUUUUUGAAAAUUAUGAAUAGUAUUUUUAUAAUUUUAAAGAAAAUAAAAUACAUAUAAAAUAUUUUAUAAACUCUCUUAGCACAUUCAAUAUUAGCCCGUUAGCCAAAAAUCAAAUGACCUAAUACUAUAAAAAAGGCAAAAGGAAUAAUCAAUUCAAACUGUCACCAAAAAUGGAUCCAAACUUUAUCAGUAUCGAAAUAUUACUUUCGCUUACAUGUGUUAACCAUGUCGGAGGAGGAGCUAGAAUACAGGAACACAUCAUUCUGAUUAACCUAAAAGAACUGGCAUUUGUCAAUGCUCCAUAGAGUAAGUAUAUAUUUCUGAAAUCCAUUAUCCAUUAGUGUUAUCAUAAGUAUUAUCCUAUUGUUUAUAUUUUUAUUUUUUGUCAGAUGCUUAAGUAGGUGAGCAAGGAGGUGUUGUUCCACCCAGUGUUUAACCCCCCGGUGUUCAAGCACCUCAAUACCCUCCAGCGUAUGGUUUCAAGCCCCUCAAGCCCCUGAUUUUCAAGCUCCGCAAGCCCUUGGUUUUUCAAGCCCCUCAAGCCCCUGGUUUUCAAUCCUCCCCAAGCCCCUGGUUUUCAACCCCUCAAGCCCCCGAUUUUCAAGUCCCUCAAGCUCUCUGUUUUAAAGCCCCUCAAGCCCCCGGUGUUCGAACCCCUCAAACCCUCACUGUUCCACCCGCCUUUGUUCCCUUUUUUAUUAUUAUUGGUUAUGUUCCUCCGUUUCCUGGUAAUUUUAUGAUCUCAACAAUUCCUCAUCCAUCCAUCUUUGUCUAUUUUUAUUUUCUUUCUUAUAUCCAGAUUUGAUAGUUUCUAAUUUCAUUCUUCCUCCAGUCGUUCAUCCUAAUCGUAUUCCUAGUAAGGAUUUCUUUCAUAAAUGAUAAAAUAAUCUUUUGAACUUUUCUUGUUCUUAGUUUUUCUAACCAUUUGUGCAGAUCACGUUCUUAUACAACGGACCAUCGAAGACAGCUUUCACAUGUUUUCUCUUGCAGAUGCAUAUCGUAAGUUUUGUUCUCAUUUGUUCUAACCAUAACUAUUAUCUUGUUCUUAUUUGUUCGAGCAUAGGAAUCCUAAAUCCUCUUCCGAUAAUUUUAAUUUUUCAGAAUAUGUUCAUUUGCAUGCUCUGAACUAGCGGUUGUACAACACCAUGGCACUCUACAUACUGAAACGUCCAUUGUUUGUCACUCUUCAAGUAAUUAAUGAAGAAGCACCAACCAGAGGUAUAUGUAUAUUAUUAUUAUAAUUUAAAAUAAAAUAAAAUACAUAUAAAAUCUCUUAUAAACUUUCUUAGCCCAUUCAUCUUAGGCCCAUUAGUCCAGGGCCAAAUGACUUAAUACUAUAAAAAGUCAAAAGGAGUAAUCAAUUCAAGCCGUCACCAAAAAUGAAUCCAAAUUUUAUCAGUAUCGAUAUACGUGUUCCUCUCACCUGUGUUCAAUAUACCGGAGUAGGAGCUAGAAUAAAAAGACACGACAUUCUGAUUUACUUAAGAGAACUGACCUUUGUCAAUGCUCCAUAGAGUAAAUUUUUAUUUCUCAAAUCCAUUAUCCAUUAGUGUUAUCAUCGGUAUUUUCCUAGUGUUUAUAUUUUUCUGUUUUGAAACUCAGAUGCUCAAGUAGGUGAGCAAGGAGGUGUUGUUCCACCCAGUAUUCAACCCCACGGUGUUCAAGCACCUCAAGCCCCUCCCCACGGUUUUCAAACUCCUCAAGCCCCUUAAGCCCCAGGUUUAUAGUUCCCCAAGUCCCUCAAGCCCCCGGCUGCCCCUCAAGCCUCUCAAGCCCCACAAUUCCCUCAAGCCCUCAAGGUCCAGGUGUUCAUGCCCCUCAAGGCCCCGGUGUUCAAAUAAUCUUUUGAACUUUUCUUUCAUAAAUGAUAAAAUAAUCUUUUGAACUUUUCUUGUUCUUAGUUUUUCUAACCAUUUGUGCAGAUCACGUUCUUAUACAACGGACCAUCGAAGACAGCUUUCACAUGUUUUCUCUUGCAGAUGCAUAUCAAUAUGUUCAUUUGCAUGCUCUGAACUAGCGGUUGUACAACACCAUGGCACUCUACAUACUGAAACGUCCAUUGUUUGUCACUCUUCAAGUAAUUAAUGAAGAAGCACCAACCAGAGGUAUAUGUAUAUUAUUAUUAUAAUUUAAAAUAAAAUAAAAUACAUAUAAAAUCUCUUAUAAACUUUCUUAGCCCAUUCAUCUUAGGCCCAUUAGUCCAGGGCCAAAUGACUUAAUACUAUAAAAAGUCAAAAGGAGUAAUCAAUUCAAGCCGUCACCAAAAAUGAAUCCAAAUUUUAUCAGUAUCGAUAUACGUGUUCCUCUCACCUGUGUUCAAUAUACCGGAGUAGGAGCUAGAAUAAAAAGACACGACAUUCUGAUUUACUUAAGAGAACUGACCUUUGUCAAUGCUCCAUAGAGUAAAUUUUUAUUUCUCAAAUCCAUUAUCCAUUAGUGUUAUCAUCGGUAUUUUCCUAGUGUUUAUAUUUUUCUGUUUUGAAACUCAGAUGCUCAAGUAGGUGAGCAAGGAGGUGUUGUUCCACCCAGUAUUCAACCCCACGGUGUUCAAGCACCUCAAGCCCCUCCCCACGGUUUUCAAACUCCUCAAGCCCCUUAAGCCCCAGGUUUAUAGUUCCCCAAGUCCCUCAAGCCCCCGGCUGCCCCUCAAGCCUCUCAAGCCCCACAAUUCCCUCAAGCCCUCAAGGUCCAGGUGUUCAUGCCCCUCAAGGCCCCGGUGUUCAACCCCCCCCCCCCCCCCCCCGGUGUUCCACAUGUUGUUCCAUCUGCCUUUGUUCCCUUGUUCCAAUUGUUGGUUAUGUUCCUCCGUUUUGGUAAUUUUCUAUUCUCAAUAAUUCCUCAUCCAUCCAUCUUUGUUUAAUUUUUUGUCUUUUCUAAUCCCCAAAUCUGCUGGUUCCUAAUUUCAUUCUUCCUCCAAUCGUUCAUCCAAAUCGUAUUCCUAAUAAAGAUUUAUUUCAUAAAUGAUAAAAUAAUUUUUUUUCUUGUUUUUAUUUAUUCUAAUCAUUUCCGCAUAUCACGUUCUUAUACAACGGACCGUCGAAGACAGCUUUCACCAGUUUUCUCUUGCAGAUGCAGAUCAUAAAUCUUGUUCUUAUUUGUUCUAUCCAUAUGUAUUUUCUUGUUCUUAGUUGUUUGAGGAAAGGAAUCUAAAUCCUCUUCCAUUAAUUAUAAUUUUUCAGAAUAUGUUAAUUUGUAUGUUCUGAACCAGUGGUUGUCCAACA